AUAGGAAGAGGAAGAUUCACUUUACAGAACUAUUAAAGAAGGUUCAAAAUAAACUUCAGCUAUGGAAAGCCAAUAAAUUGUGGAAUGACUUUGCAGCAGCUGCUGGAAUUCAGAGAUGAUUUAUUCAACUAAAAGACAUAAUAUACAAAUGGUGGAAUGCUAAGUGUUUCUCUAGACUCAGACCUUUGUUUAUUGCUAUACCUGCUUUUAUUUUGUAGCAAAUUUAGAAGAGGAGAAACACUAUCAAGUACGAAGGGAAGAUGUCAAUUCAUGGCAUGAAGUUUGAGGUGAAUAGGAAUAUUUAUAUUUUUUUCUAAAAUAAGGUAUCCAUGGUUGAAAAUUUACCCAAUAACUGGCCUAUGAUUGUUAUUAUAUUGGAAGCUUAGAAACCGUAUAUCCAGGCAAUUGUGGUAAUUUGAAAAACCCUUGGUAAUGAUUUUUUCAA